rnacentral:rRNA from 1 species
GUAGGUGGCAAGCGUUGUCCGGAAUUAUUGGGCGUAAAGCGCGCGCAGGUGGUUCUUUAAGUCUGAUGUGAAAGCCCCCGGCUCAACCGGGGAGGGUCAUUGGAAACUGGGGAACUUGAGUGCAGGAGAGGAAAGUGGAAUUCCACGUGUAGCGGUGAAAUGCGUAGAUAUGUGGAGGAACACCAGUGGCGAAGGCGACUUUCUGGCCUGUAGCUGACACUGAGGCGCGAAAGCGUGGGGAGCAAACAGGGAUUAGAUACCCUGGUAGUCCACGCCGUAAACGAUGAGUGCUAAGUGUUGGGGGGGUUUCCCGCCCCUCAGUGCUGCAGCUAACGCAUUAAGCACUCCGCCUGGGGAGUACGGUCGCAAGACUG